GUGUACCUACGGGAGGCAGCAGUGAGGAAUAUUGGUCAAUGGUCGGGAGACUGAACCAGCCAAGCCGCAUGAGGGAUGAAGGUACAGAGUAUCGUAAACCUCUUUUGUCAGGGAACAAAGGCGGGGACGCGUCCCCGGAUGAGUGUACCUGAAGAAAAAGCAUCGGCUAACUCCGUGCCAGCAGCCGCGGUAAUACGGAGGAUGUGAGCGUUAUCCGGAUUUAUUGGGUUUAAAGGGUGCGCAGGCGGUCUGUUAAGUCAGCGGUCAAAGCCCGGGGCUCAACCCCGGCCCGCCGUUGAAAAUGG
rnacentral:rRNA from 1 species